rnacentral:tRNA from 1 species
AAAAAGAUAAGCUAAAUAAAGCUAAUGGGCUCAUACCCCGGAAAUGAAGGUUUAAUCUUUCUCUUUUUA